GAGUAAAUGGAAAUGUCCGUAUCCAAUUCUGCAGGAGAGGGCGCAUGCAUUCGCAUGUACACCCACUCAGCCCUUUCUUUACAUAGAUCCAUAUUUGCAAAGACUCCUCCUUUAGCGGGAAGGGGGGAAAUUCCUUCUUUGUAAACCUGGCACCAGCCUUUACCAGCUUCUGCUUUCAGUGGCUCAGCUUAGCAGCGACGGAAAACAGCAGAACCACCAAGUUCAGCUCGCCCGGGCAAGGCAAGGUCAGUCAAUUAAAGGAGAGGAGGGGGUGAGUCGGCAGGGUGAAGAGAGGAGAGCAGGUGGGGAAGUGCAGAGUGACCAGAGCCCUAAGAACGGUGGCUCAGUUUCUAAUGGCAACCAUCUCAAAGGCUUUUGUCUUUGUGCCCUGCUUCGUAAUUAAGUGUUAAAUAGAAGUACGGCUCCGUCAGCAGAGCUUCCUUCCUGAUAAAAAAAAAAACCCUUGGCUUAUAUUCAUCUUCUGGCCUGACAGCUUAUUAGAGAACUGCAGUUGGAAGAUUCUGCAUACUUGGGAACAGAGGAAGAGAUCAAGAGAUUAUUCUAAAAUCCCAGAUUGGUCAGUGUCCAAUAUUGCAAUGGAGACACAGCACGUGUGUGUGUGUGUGUGUGUGUGUGUGUGUGUGUGCAGGUAAACCAUUUUGAGGCAUCUAAAUUUUAUUAAAUAAAACAGGCACUUGUAAGAUUGUUAAAUCAAACGUCGGACAUUUAGGUGCGCUGUGCAGGUCAAUAGGCCCUGACCUGUUUUAUGAAUGAACGAAAAUUCGGCAACACAUUCACAAACCUUAAUCCGAUUGACAGCCAUUCUUAUUACAUGUCUUUAAAAAACAUGGAAAUGCAUGGAUCUGUUUUGAACAUAUAUGAAAUUAAACUGGGGUUGUCAGUAAUCAUGUGGGACUGUCAACAGCCACCAGAAUCUGGACACUCGCUACACGCAUGCAUAAAAAUAUCCUCGAGCAUUUAUGCAACAUUUAAGAAGGUUCAGGGCAGUUCUUUGUUUAUGAUGUGCUCUGCACAAUCUCAUCCAUUGUAUAAAUGGCCAGUGAUGUUUGCACAUGACUGCAACUAGUAAGAAAGAUCAGCAAUAGACUGCAGAUUGAGAAAUAAUGUCUAAGAGAAGACUAUUGUGCCUAACAGCCGAGCAACAUGUUACAUUUAAGGUGCCAUCGCAUUUAACAUACAUUUUUGUUUUUGGAAAUGGCACCCACAUGGGGAACCAAUCAGGUCUGGAGCCACAGGGCACUGGGAGGGGUGAUCAAUCUAUCCCCCGCCAUGCUAAUGUCUGACAAAAAUUAACCUGCUGUUGGCGCCGAUAUUGGACAAGGUUCACCCAAUGCUAAUUGCGUCCCACUGCCAUCACUUUGGAACAUGUUGGAAGGCAGAUCCCUCAAAGGCAUGUAAUGUACCAUAGUUUGCCCAUAAGGCUGCCUAAAGAUUUGGCUCUUGGCAAAGAUGAGAUCUGAACUGUGGACUCCACAGCUUACAAUUUCAGCAGCUACAAUGAACUCCAGAAUAUACAAACUCUUCCUUUUCCCCACAUUAAUAUGUUACUAAGUAUGUUCCAAAGUUCACAGAGGAUUCUUGCUGGGGCAGCUUUUUUCCAGUCCAUUUCUUCCAAACGGAAGAACGGGGAAAUUAAAUGACAACUGACACAUUCGUACUUGAAAGUUGCUGGUUAUUAUCAAUAAAGCAUAAUGAGGGGGAAAGAGUCAGUUCCUGGGGGAGAGAAACGAACACAAUAGCACAGUAAUAUCUGUGGCCAAUUUGGCUGUGUGUGUAUGAACAGCCAAAAUAAAUCUGUGUGCUGCAUGUGUAAGGACCAGUACCCCAAAUUCAUGAUCCUCUGUAUGCCACUAUCUUUUAAACAUUUGCUUGGGCACCAAAGCUAUGGCAGCCCCCGUUCGCUUCCAAAGCAUGUGAAAGGGCCUUGCUGCAAGUGUGUCAGGGACUACCAGGGCUCUGACAAGUGUGUGUCAGAGGUAGGACACUAGGGGACUGACCCAGCAGAGGGGGCUAGUGAUUUGGGGGGUUAUCGGUGUUUCGCAACUUUGACCUGUUGCAGGACCUUAGCCAGACCUUAGCAGAGCAUACGCAGAGUUCCAGAAAGCAAUCAGUUGCAGGCAGGACGGACGAAGCAGGAACAAGAUGCUGCUACUAGUAACUUGGUUACUUAGAGAUGUUUAUUAUUUACAACAGACUCUACAAGUUACUAUAUACAAGAACAGAUACGGAUCUUAACUAGCUGUCUCUUAUCAAACUCCAGACGACUCUCAGAACACCACACUGACCAACACACACUCCAGUCAGUAAGGUCAUAAGUCAUCAUGCCUGUGUGAAACCUCAACCAAAGGUAGAGCUGUAUCCAAGGUCUCAGAUCUCCAGGCAGAAUAACUCCUCUCUGCUCAGUCUUCUUGGCUUUCGGCCAACUCUUAAUUGACUCUGUGUGAAGCUGCACAGAAUGGCCCGUAGUCAAAAUCCCAACAGGCACCACCUGCGAGGCAGGAGCCAGGGUGGGAAGGGGGCGGAGGAAUGAUCAGAGCUCUCAGAGGCAAAGGUGGGCAUUCAGGAUGUGUCGGAGGAAGAGGCUGUUCCAGAGAGGGACUGGCCAGUCAAAUACCUGCCAUCUCCCACCACAAUGUCUCCUAGAACCAAGAGGGGUUUAAAGAGGGAAGAGCAGCGACAACUUCCAUGUAGGAGAAGCCUGAGAUUGUGCACGCCGAGGUCGCAAGAAGCAAGAAGCAGCAAGGUCUGGUCAGGAACGACAAAUGGUGUUUCUAGCAACUGACUGAGUCUGGAAACCCUACUUUAAAAAGCUGGUUCUCAUCAGGAGCAAGAAGGCUGAUCAGCAGCAGGUGGAGUCACUUCGCUUUCUGCUCCUUCAGGCUGCUGCUCAGCAGGUAAAGCCGACCCCUGGCCCAUGACACUCGUAAGCUGGGGGGCGGGUGGCACACUCCCACUGUUGUUGCAACUGCUCCGCAGGGUGCAGACCUGGGGACAGCAUGUGUAUCCAGGGCAUCGUGGGAAUUGCUGCCAAGUACGUCCUGUUCUCAACAAAGAAUUGACUAUCAGAUGUGUGCCUUCCUCUGUUGGGGCUGCCUAGGACAAAGAGGGAGUCAGUAACUGAACAUUGCAACAUAUAGAAUGCCGGUCUUCAUUCCCAGAAUCCUCUGCAAGAUGCUGGAAUUCCAUGGAAGAUGUUCAAUGGUGCAGACAAGAAAACACAGAGAUUCUUGAAGGUAGAAAGGGUUGGGAGGUGGACGCUAUUUUAAUCCUUUUCCAUAGUGACUCAUCUGGCUAAAAGGAAUCCUGAUGUUAGCUGCAUUAGCUUUCUAGAAGUUUGUGAAGAAUUCUGGGGCAUAUUACCGUAUUUUUCGCUCUAUAAGACGCACCAGACCACAAGACGCACCUAGUUUUUGGAGGAGG